UUUAUGGAGAGUUUGAUCCUGGCUCAGGAUGAACGCUGGCGGCGUGCCUAAUACAUGCAAGUCGAGCGAACGGACGAGAAGUUUGCUUCUCUGAUGUUAGCGGCGGACGGGUGAGUAACACGUGGAUAACCUACCUAUAAGACUGGGAUAACUUCGGGAAACCGGAGCUAAUACCGGAUAAUAUUUUGAACCGCAUGGUUCAAAAGUGAAAGACGGUCUUGCUGUCACUUAUAGAUGGAUCCGCGCUGCAUUAGCUAGUUGGUAAGGUAACGGCUUACCAAGGCAACGAUGCAUAGCCGACCUGAGAGGGUGAUCGGCCACACUGGAACUGAGACACGGUCCAGACUCCUACGGGAGGCAGCAGUAGGGAAUCUUCCGCAAUGGGCGAAAGCCUGACGGAGCAACGCCGCGUGAGUGAUGAAGGUCUUCGGAUCGUAAAACUCUGUUAUUAGGGAAGAACAUAUGUGUAAGUAACUGUGCACAUCUUGACGGUACCUAAUCAGAAAGCCACGGCUAACUACGUGCCAGCAGCCGCGGUAAUACGUAGGUGGCAAGCGUUAUCCGGAAUUAUUGGGCGUAAAGCGCGCGUAGGCGGUUUUUUAAGUCUGAUGUGAAAGCCCACGGCUCAACCGUGGAGGGUCAUUGGAAACUGGAAAACUUGAGUGCAGAAGAGGAAAGUGGAAUUCCAUGUGUAGCGGUGAAAUGCGCAGAGAUAUGGAGGAACACCAGUGGCGAAGGCGACUUUCUGGUCUGUAACUGACGCUGAUGUGCGAAAGCGUGGGGAUCAAACAGGAUUAGAUACCCUGGUAGUCCACGCCGUAAACGAUGAGUGCUAAGUGUUAGGGGGUUUCCGCCCCUUAGUGCUGCAGCUAACGCAUUAAGCACUCCGCCUGGGGAGUACGACCGCAAGGUUGAAACUCAAAGGAAUUGACGGGGACCCGCACAAGCGGUGGAGCAUGUGGUUUAAUUCGAAGCAACGCGAAGAACCUUACCAAAUCUUGACAUCCUUUGACAACUCUAGAGAUAGAGCCUUCCCCUUCGGGGGACAAAGUGACAGGUGGUGCAUGGUUGUCGUCAGCUCGUGUCGUGAGAUGUUGGGUUAAGUCCCGCAACGAGCGCAACCCUUAAGCUUAGUUGCCAUCAUUAAGUUGGGCACUCUAAGUUGACUGCCGGUGACAAACCGGAGGAAGGUGGGGAUGACGUCAAAUCAUCAUGCCCCUUAUGAUUUGGGCUACACACGUGCUACAAUGGACAAUACAAAGGGCAGCGAAACCGCGAGGUCAAGCAAAUCCCAUAAAGUUGUUCUCAGUUCGGAUUGUAGUCUGCAACUCGACUACAUGAAGCUGGAAUCGCUAGUAAUCGUAGAUCAGCAUGCUACGGUGAAUACGUUCCCGGGUCUUGUACACACCGCCCGUCACACCACGAGAGUUUGUAACACCCGAAGCCGGUGGAGUAACCUUUUAGGAGCUAGCCGUCGAAGGUGGGACAAAUGAUUGGGGUGAAGUCGUAACAAGGUAGCCGUAUCGGAAGGUGCGGCUGGAUCACCUCCUUUCU
rnacentral:rRNA from 1 species